rfam:TPA: Bos taurus chromosome 10, whole genome shotgun sequence.
UCCCUGAUGGUCCAGUGGUUAGAGCUCAGUGAUUCCACUGCAGGGGGCCCAGGUUCAAUCCCUGGUUGGGGAA